UUUUUUAAUUUAUACUUGAAACUCUUUCAAAUGCUGGAUUUUCACCUCCUUUUUCAGGAAGUAUUCAUGAAUUGACAUGGGUCAACAUACUUCUCAUUACCAGGCAAAAAGGAGAAGCCACAACACUUAACUCAUGAUCUGGAGUCUUAAGAGGAUUUCUGAGUUCAGUGAAGGGUGUCUGAGAACAGAGUCUGGUGCUCCUGUGCAUAUUGAAGUAUCUUCAAGUACCAAUUCCUCCUUUCAAAGAAUGGAUUUUGUUUGAGCUUUUAAAGAAUUAGACAAUUAAAAUUGAGUUGGGAACUGAAGUGGUGGAGUAGUCUUUGAAAUGCAGUGCCCAUCAGCAACAUGCAUCUGCUUAUGCUUCACUAGAAGAGGUCUGUACUAGAAAUCUCUAUUAAAAAACCUUCCCUGCUGGUUUCAUUUUCAUAUAAAAGAUAAAACACAGGCUUUUGAAAGUGAGCAAUUAUUAUUGUGCUUCCUUCACCUUAACCAACGUCAAGAUGUUGUUUAUCUCUUGACAGUGCAACAUUCUGACUGCACUUAUGUUUUUUUUAGGACAGUAAUGUACCCAGAAGAAGGGUUAAUGGAUGUGUGUUCAGAUCUGUAUGCCAGUGCCUCUCAGUCUUUGAUUCUUAAUACCUGUCCUAAGUAGCUUACAAGAUAGCCCAGAAAAGAAAGUGUGACUUGCAUCUGCAUGCUAUUUCAUUUGCAGUAGAAGUCUGAAACAGUUCAAGAACAGAGCAGAGGUGACUGUUGAACCAAAUAUGUUCUAGGUGUAUUUCAUUCUACAGCAUUUAACUAUGAAGAACAAAUCUGUAUUACUAUUAGUUUUCUGUACCUCUCAGCAUGCUUCAGAAAAGACAGCCAUGUAAAUGAGAAGUAGGAUAGUAAAUGUUUACAAGUAGAUGGGGCUUUGAAAGUGUAGUAAAAAUCAGUUUGAAUAAAAAAAAUUAAAAAAGGAAAGAAAAGAAAAACAGAGAACCAGUAUACUGAAAAGCUCCUUGUAAUCUAGUGGGCUCCUGUGACUCACUUGUCAUAUUUCUAAAACGUUUGUUUACAUCUAAGGGUUUCUAAAUAUCUGAAUUACCCAUACUGUCUGCAACUAAUUUACUCUUUUAAGGUUCUAGUGUUAUUUGCAUUGUCUUAGAAGACCACCUUGAGUCAAUGCUCUAAAACAUCCAGGUAAACAGUUCACAAGCUGACUGUCCUGUGCUCUCUGAGCAGCACUUGGGACAAAACUCAAGUCAGGAGGAAUGGAAUGGGCCAGGAGACUCUUGUUCUGCUGGCUGGUCCUUAGGAUUUCUGUGUACUUGUGCUGCUUUGUUCCGUGUUGGUUUCAGCACUGAGACUCUAAGUAUUGGCAGACUUGUUAGAGACUUAGCCAUCGUUUUCAAAGGCAUUCUGAAGGCCCCACCAUCUUCAAAUGGAGGAAAAAGAUAGGACAGAGAUCUGACUGUUCCUUUAAACAGCUUGUACUGGAUUUGGAAGUGUAGUGUGGCAAACAAUAUAUUGAAUUUAGUUUCAGGAUUAAAUGAAAAGAGCAGUUUAAAACGUGGCUGUGUUAUUCUUCAACAAUUUUUCCAUUUAUAUUAUAUAAAAUAUGCCUCUAAGUAGGACACCCAGCCAGAAAGAUACAGACACAUGACCAUAAAUGGCAUCACUGAAAAUGUGACAUGAAAAGAGGCAGGUAACAAUAAUGAUGGAAGGUGUGGAUCCAAGUUUCAAUAAAAAUGACUUUUGUAUCAAGUGAAAAGGUCAGGCUUUAUGUAAGCAAGGAUUUAAGAGCCUGUGCUGUGUUAUUACCUAAAGUAAAACUAACAGUUACAGCAUUUUUUUUCAUCCUGGCAUUUCUUUGUGCUUAAAUGUCAGCAUAAGGUUUUUAUUUCAGGGAUUAUGGAAGUAAUGUUGUGGGUUAAACACAAAAUGAACAUUAUUAACAACUGAAAUAUGAUUGGGCAAUUAUAAUUGGGUAGUUAAAAUUGAUUGUAAUGGAAUAUAAAACAAAAUGGACUCACAUUAAUUACAGGGACUAAUGGUUGAUUUUGUGGUCUAAAUUACCAUGCUUAAAAUCAUUUCAGCUGUUAGUAAAAUGUAAGAGCUUAAUGCAGUUUACCAUGAAGUCCACUAUACCAAGGGAAAGCAUGAAAGCUCCUGAUGCUUAUGCCUUCACUUUGAUUCCAUGCAAGUAUCAAAUACUUGUAAAGGAAACAUCUUUGAUGUGUAAGAUUUAUAACCUUUGUACUUUUUUUUUUCUUUUUCCUGACAUUUUUGUGAGAUUGCUUUUGUCCAAAUAAAGCAUGUGGAUCAUUUUGGACGCUUUGGUAUAAAAAGUCAUCUUUGUCUACAUACAACUAACAAAACUUUUGAAUUUCAGACAGUUUUCAUUGAUGUGAAGAUUGCU